rnacentral:rRNA from 1 species
GAUGAACGCUGGCGGCGUGCUUAACACAUGCAAGUCGAACGAAGCACUUUAUUUGAUUUCCUUCGGGACUGAUUAUUUUGUGACUGAGUGGCGGACGGGUGAGUAACGCGUGGGUAACCUGCCUUGUACAGGGGGAUAACAGUUGGAAACGGCUGCUAAUACCGCAUAAGCGCACGGCAUCGCAUGAUGCAGUGUGAAAAACUCCGGUGGUAUAAGAUGGACCCGCGUUGGAUUAGCUAGUUGGUGAGGUAACGGCCCACCAAGGCGACGAUCCAUAGCCGACCUGAGAGGGUGACCGGCCACAUUGGGACUGAGCCACGGCCCAAACUCCUACGGGAGGCAGCAGUGGGGAAUAUUGCACAAUGGGCGAAAGCAUGAUGCAGCGACGCCGCGUGAGCGAAGAAGUAUUUCGGUAUGUAAAGCUCUAUCAGCAGGGAAGAUAAUGACGGUACCUGACUAAGAAGCACCGGCUAAAUACGUG